ensembl:lncRNA
CAGGUUUUAACUGCUUUGUGCUGUAUAUGUAUUAAUUGAUGGAAUUACCUGCUGGUUUACAUGGAUGGGAGGAUGCAGACGUUGGUGACGGCAGCAGGAGCCCCCAGCAUGGAGGAGACACCACCAUGACGGUGCGGCGCUACUCCACCGCGGCAUCGGCACCCUCAAGGCCUCUCCAUGCCGGCAAGCGGCCCCCGAGCAGCGGGCAGCUGGAGGAGCGGGGCAGGGCCGAGCCGCACGCCUGUCCCACUGCAGAGCAGCACCCCAGCGAUGUGAGCAGAGGCCUUGGGAAGGGCCCAGCCAACUGCUUCUCCAGCAGCACUUCCAGCAAAAUGAGGCUGUUCCAGGAGCACGUCCGCAGGUGCAGG